UCAAAUCAAUUCAUUAAACAUUUUAAUAUUCAGUUUUGUUAUAAAUAAUUGAACAUACAGUUGAAUUUAAAGUUCAUUAAGGGGAAGGGGAAUCCAAAUUCAUUGACAUAUUUGAACUUUUUUUUUUAACAAGUAACACAA